rnacentral:rRNA from 1 species
UACAGAGGUGGCAAGCGUUGUUCGGAAUUACUGGGCGUAAAGGGCGCGUAGGCGGUCUUGUAAGUCUUGUGUGAAAUCCCUCGGCUUAACUGAGGAACUGCACGGGAUACUGCGAGACUUGAGAUCGGGAGAGGGAAGCGGAAUUCCGGGUGUAGCGGUGAAAUGCGUAGAUAUCCGAAGGAACACCGGUGGCGAAGGCGGCUUGCCUGGACCGGACACUGACGCUGAGGCGCGAAAGCUAGGGGAGCAAACGGG